GUGGCUGUGGCUUUGGUAGAGCAUGGCGCUUGCAACGCCAGGGGUGUGGGUUCGAUUCCCACAGGGGACC
rnacentral:tRNA from 1 species